rnacentral:rRNA from 1 species
GACAGAGGGUGCAAACGUUGUUCGGAAUUACUGGGCGUAAAGCGAGUGUAGGCGGUUUGGUAAGUCGGAUGUGAAAGCCCCGGGCUCAACCCGGGAAGUGCACUCGAUACUGCCAAGCUAGAGUAUCGGAGAGGUUGGUGGAAUUCUCGGUGUAGAGGUGAAAUUCGUAGAUAUCGAGAGGAACACCGGUGGCGAAGGCGGCGACCUGGUCCAUUACUGACGCUGAGGCGCGACAGCGUGGGGAGCAAACAGG